CAGUCGCCGCGGGAAUACAGAGGGUGCAAGCGUUAAUCGGAUUUACUGGGCGUAAAGGGCGCGUAGGUGGUUAUUUAAGUGAGAUGUGAAAGCCCCGGGCUUAACCUGGGAACUGCAUCUUAUACUGGGUAACUGGAGUGCAGUAGAGGGUAGUGGAAUUUCCGGUGUAGCGGUGAAAUGCGUAGAUAUCGGAAGGAACACCAGUGGCGAAGGCGGCUACCUGGACUGAGACUGACACUGAGGCGCGAGAGCGUGGGGAGCAAACAGGAUUAGAGACCCCCGUAGUCCCUGUCUCUUAUAA
rnacentral:rRNA from 1 species